rnacentral:rRNA from 1 species
AUUGAACGCUGGCGGCAGGCUUAACACAUGCAAGUCGAGCGGAUGACGGGAGCUUGCUCCUUGAUUCAGCGGCGGACGGGUGAGUAAUGCCUAGGAAUCUGCCUGGUAGUGGGGGACAACGUUUCGAAAGGAACGCUAAUACCGCAUACGUCCUACGGGAGAAAGCAGGGGACCUUCGGGCCUUGCGCUAUCAGAUGAGCCUAGGUCGGAUUAGCUAGUUGGUGAGGUAAUGGCUCACCAAGGCGACGAUCCGUAACUGGUCUGAGAGGAUGAUCAGUCACACGGGAACUGAGACACGGUCCAGACUCCUACGGGAGGCAGCAGUGGGGAAUAUUGGACAAUGGGCGAAAGCCUGAUCCAGCCAUGCCGCGUGUGUGAAGAAGGUCUUCGGAUUGUAAAGCACUUUAAGUUGGGAGGAAGGGCAGUAAGUUAAUACCUUGCUGUUUUGACGUUACCGACAGAAUAAGCACCGGCUAACUCUGUGCCAGCCGCCGCCGUAA